rnacentral:lncRNA from 1 species
GCGGCGGGCGGCGGCACCGGGACCUCCACGGACAACAAGAACAAGGGCGGCGGCAAGAAGUAGGGGCCGCACUGGGCGCCCGCGGCGCAACUCUGUACGAUUAUCGAUGCCAUUAGCUUGUGUGCCUUCGCAUCCACGUAGAUGCGAUGUUUGUUGGGUCAUAAACUCAUUCGUCGUCUGCAAGCUUGCAGUUACUCUGAUACAUCAUGAAUUUGUGAUGGCAAUAAAUACGUGGCGUUUUGGUUUUGUGGGUUAUGUUCUGUUUGCCUUUGCGUUCCGUGGUCUGUGUGAUUGUGCUAUCGUUGGACCUCUUGAGUAUCACAACUAGCAUACAAGAUGCAUGAUAAUAAGAGAUGUCUUGCUACUUGUAAGCAUCUGUCUACUAGCUUGUUGAAACUGGAAAGUUGAUUAUGCUGUUGUGCUGUCUAUUUUUUUUUCACGGUACUGUCAACCCCAUUCGUAAAUGAAUGCUGUGAGUAGAGCUGCUUAAAUAGCUUAUGCUUGUUAACGUCUGGCCGGCCGCACCGUGAGAGCCCCGUCCUCGCGACACAAAGGCAAGGUGCAUGACUGCCCCUCCAAGCACAGGUACGUACCUUCGUCCUUAUCAAUCAAAAUUGGAAGCACGCGGCGACCGCGUUUCAUUUGAUCUCCCAGGACGGAGUUCGUCGAUCUGAUCGGAGCAGCGACAGGCAACGGCGUCUGCGUGGCGACUGCCACCGGUGUGUUGGAGCCGCGCUGACUUGAGUUUCCCAUCUAUCUGCGCACGAUCAACAGGACCGUGUCAGAAGAGCCAAUCUCCACGACAUAAGGGCGAGGUGCACGAGCAAUGCCGUGAGUGGCUGAUGCAAUUCUAGGUCAGUCAAACUGCAUCAAAAUCAAAAUCAAUAUUUUUCUGUGUGCUUCUUUUCUUAUCAAACUGUCAAAAAUAUUGUUCAGUCUAGGACCAGGUCUCAUUUAACUGGCAAAAAUAGGAUGAUGGCAAGCAGUCUGAGAAUGUACAUACAUGAUUAGAUUGGUUCAGUGGGGAUUAGAUAAAAUCCUCAUGUUGAAAGAAUCUGCUUUCUGAAACAAUUUUUUGUCUGAAUGUAGCAAUUGUGGAGCCAUGGUAUAUUGCCUACCAAUUUUAACUUUGUUUCACGGAUAGAGAUUUCACUGAUUAUUACAAGUACAACCCCCUUUUACAGAAAGAGAUUGGUGUCCUGGAUGCUGUUCGGCUCUUGAGUUCUUUAUGCAUAUCAAAACAUCUGUCUAGAUGUUGUUCGGCUCUAUCUGAAUGGUAUUUGUAACCUCUGAAUUUCCAUUCAUUCAAGGUUGAAGGUUGCAAUGAUGGUAGCUUAGAAGAGGUAAAAAGACCCUUAGCACUACUUAAAUAUUCCUUGGUAGUAAGUUAAUAUCGUUGCUGGCAAACACCCUAUACACUUCUGAUCAUGCUGGACCAAUUGUUGAACUGGGUCCGAUGUCAGAGUGGCAAUUGAUCAAGAAAGAUGGCAUUUUGCGGUUCUUUUCUGAUUUAGAACUGAUCAAGGGACAUGUACUCCGAUUGCACUGAAGUGGUUGAACUUCAGUUUCUCCGAUGUCAGAGUGGCAAUUGAUCAAGAAAGAUGGCAUUUUGCGGUUCUUUUCUGAUUUAGAACUGAUCAAGGGACAUGUACUCCGAUUGCACUGAAGUGGUUGAACUUCAGUUUCUCUGAUGUUUCAACUUUCAAUAUGGUAUCUGUAGCUGAAUCUUUUUUUUUAGUUUCUGAAAUUCUGAAACCAGGAUGUACUUGAUCAAUACUAGCUAUUCUGGAAUUCUGAAAACACUAUUGUCGAAUAACUAGCUAUUCUUCAGGUCAAGAAGGAAUUGGAGGGUUUGAGACAGCCCGUAGAGUAGCCUAAACAUAUCCUAGCUUCUUGAACAAGUCUCUUGCUUCUUGAACAAAUGUUUCUCCAGGUGGCCUGCGAAUGGAGGGAGUAUUCUGUUACAGCAUGUGUGGCUGUUUUAUGAAGGUCUCAAGACACAUCAACAUCAAAGUGGAGAACAAGAUGGUAAGGACAGGUUGCACAGGGAGCUUGAUGGCAUUCAGGUUGAGCUGCAAGCCUCUGAAGAAGCUACCAAGAUGUUACUACCUUUGUCAACUGAGCUAGUAGCUGAUCAAAAGCUUUGUCUGAAAGUUCCAGUAUUCUGUUCGGAUUCUUUGGGGGUAUGAGCCAUAAUGACGUGCCUGUAACUAACUAUUAUCAUUUCAGAAGGGCCAUCCUUCAGCUAAUAUUUGGCCUAGUUCGUUUUGGAACUAAUUCAUUGAUAUUUGGUUCAUCUUGUAAAUCAUGUUUGGUGCUUCUUGGAGCUUUACAAAAAUGCCUGUCAAUUGGGACUGGGCUCCCAAAUCAGCAGACCAAAGACAGAACCGCUGCUAAAUCACACAAAUCCUGUACAAAUCAAACAAUGCACUUCGAAUCGCCAACCAAAAAAAAAAUCAUCAAACCAAACAAUCCGCAAUAGAUCAAACCCUAACCAGAUCAAGCAGAUUUGAAACAAGCUGAUCGGAGAGAACUUCAAAUCAAAAGCCAACAGCAAACCCUAGAGUUCUUACCCCACAAGUCAGUCAUAGACGCAGAUCAAAACUCGGAUCAGCGGUCAACAGAUGCCGGACGGUGCAGAUCAGAUGGGGCGCGCCAUCGGACAAGCAUAAAAUCAAGGGCACUCGAGUGCAGAUUUCCGUUAAACAUUGGUGCUCAACCUCGUUACAGAAUACAAAAAAAAUGCCGACCACCACACCCACGUUAAAAAUGCCGACGCCCACCGACGUCACAGAGGGUGCCUUUGGUUGGACUUUUGAACCUGCUUUUGCUUUUGCAAAAGUCAAAAGUCAAAAGCAAAAAAGCUCUAUAUGCUUUUGCCCAAAAGCUGCUUUUGGUGUAGUACAAAUGCAAAAGCACCCUCCUCCCUGCUUUGAGGUGCUUUUGGGGUAAAAAAUUACCCACCUGCCACUCUUUAUGAAAGGUAACGGUUCUUUUUUUUCCGAUCUAUUUCUAGCGCAAGUCUUCCGUCAACCGUCCGCCUCCCGUAUUCUCCAGCGCCGCCCCCGGCGGACCGUCUCCCUCCGAGUCCCGGUCGCCGGCCCUCCGGCCCCAGUCGCCGGCUGCCGCCCCAGUCGCCAGUCUGCCUCCUGAUCCGGUCGCCACCCCUGGAUCACCCGCCACACCGCGCCCCCGGCCGCCGCACCCGGCCGUCCGCCUCCAGCCUCGUAUUUCGUAUGUACAUGUUCCUGCCGCCGACGGCCGUUGUAUUCUGCGCGUCUGCUCUCACGUCCGUCUCGUUGAAGGUGAGUCGCUGGGACUUGGCUCGAUUUCAUCGACAAUUUCAUCUGUCGAUGGUAAUAGUUGCUGCCGUGGUAGUAAUGAUGGCUAGUAGAUCAGUAGCAAUGAUAGGCAGUAAUGAUGAUGAAGUAGCCCCUGUUGCCGUAGACGUUGAUGGCUAGUAGAACAGCAGCACUUUCUAUUUACGAUUUGACAGGGAGUAAUGAUGAUGAAGUAGCUCCUGAGCUCACCGAAUCAAACUGGUAGCUUUCUAUUUACGCAUUGUAGGUCUUCUUAUCAAUGUUUGAACUGGUAGCUUUCUUUUCGUGGAAGGAAAAUAGAAACCCCAGGAAGUUUACAACCUCAUUUUCAUUUUAUCUAAGCUAUUUAAUAGUUUUUAAGAUGGUAGUGGCUCAAAAUUGUUCACAUGCAAUUCUUAUAAUUUAUUGAAGUCACAAUAUCUAUCAUUAGUCAUAUGAAUUGAAUCAAACAAUAUUUUUGGUUGGCUGAAGAAUGGGUGAUAAGGCGGAUUGGGGUGAUGCUUUUUUAAGGCAUUUGAUUGAUGCCUGCAAAGAAGAGAUUGAAGCCGGGAAUAGGCCGAUGGGAAUUUUUACUACUACCGGUUGGAAGAAUGUUGUUUCAAAGUUUGCAGAAAAAUCCGGUGACAAGAGAACAAAAAAAACAA